rnacentral:rRNA from 1 species
GGCGGCGUGCUUAACACAUGCAAGUCGAGCGGAAAGGCCCUUCGGGGUACUCGAGCGGCGAACGGGUGAGUAACACGUGAGUAACCUGCCCUAGGCUUUGGGAUAACCCUCGGAAACGGGGGCUAAUACCGGAUAUGACCUUUCCUCGCAUGAGGGUUGGUGGAAAGUUUUUCGGCCUGGGAUGGGCUCGCGGCCUAUCAGCUUGUUGGUGGGGUGAUGGCCUACCAAGGCGACGACGGGUAGCCGGCCUGAGAGGGCGACCGGCCACACUGGGACUGAGACACGGCCCAGACUCCUACGGGAGGCAGCAGUGGGGAAUAUUGCACAAUGGGCGGAAGCCUGAUGCAGCGACGCCGCGUGAGGGAUGACGGCCUUCGGGUUGUAAACCUCUUUCAGCAGGGACGAAGCGCAAGUGACGGUACCUGCAGAAGAAGCGCCGGCCAACUACGUGCCAGCAGCCGCGGUAAGACGUAGGGCGCGAGCGUUGUCCGGAUUUAUUGGGCGUAAAGAGCUCGUAGGCGGCUUGUCGCGUCGACCGUGAAAACUUGGGGCUCAACCCCAAGCCUGCGGUCGAUACGGGCAGGCUAGAGUUCGGUAGGGGAGACUGGAAUUCCUGGUGUAGCGGUGAAAUGCGCAGAUAUCAGGAGGAACACCGGUGGCGAAGGCGGGUCUCUGGGCCGAUACUGACGCUGAGGAGCGAAAGCGUGGGGAGCGAACAGGAUUAGAUACCCUGGUAGUCCACGCUGUAAACGUUGGGCGCUAGGUGUGGGGGGCCUCUCCGGUUCCCUGUGCCGCAGCUAACGCAUUAAGCGCCCCGCCUGGGGAGUACGGCCGC